rnacentral:rRNA from 1 species
UUUGGUGAUGAUGGCAGCAGAGGUCACACCCGUUCCCAUACCGAACACGGAAGUUAAGCUCUCUAGCGCCGAUGGUAGUUGGGACCUUGUCCCUGUGAGAGUAGGACGUCGCCAAGC